rnacentral:lncRNA from 1 species
CCCCCCCCCAUUUCUCAGAAAAAUCUCCGGUUCCCACCCAGGGACUCCAUACUGGUCCGACAGAUUUUUGUUUUUGUUUUUUGAUUUUCCUGUGUAUGAAACCUAACAUUUUUCAAAACAUCCUCUCCUCAAGCUACCAUCCCUUACCCAGCCCCAAACCGGGCAUCGGCGCCUUGGUGAAACCCCACAGCCGGCUGCUUUGGGGUAUAGCCUGCGACUGUGUUUCCCAGGUGAGGACCAGCACAUGUCUGAGGUCCUGAGCCCAGAAAUCUUGGAAUCAGGAAUACCCAGUGUGGUGGGAAUGACACCAGAAGAGUGGUGCCCGCUCGCCCCAGCCCCAUCCCUCAGGGGUGAACCGGCCAUGCUGCACUACAAUGUGGGCAGGCAAGACUCCCCCAGGCCACCAGCAAAUGCCCCACUCUCGGGGCCAUUGCGCCCGCCGCGGUUGGGCUGUGCUGCAUUUGUACAUACACGCACAUUUAGUUUGCAGUUAAUCCCUGCAGCGCUGACACAAUAGCUUCCUCCCUCCGUUUAGUUUGCCCCGGAGACCCCUGAGUGCCCCUUGCUCCUCCGGGGUACUGGGUUCGAGAUCCAGCCACUUAAUUUCCCCACCGAUUGUUUUGUUUUGAUAUUUUAGAGACAGGAAGGUCUCCGCAGGCUGGCCUCCAACUCGUGGCAAUUCUCCUGCCUCCGUUUCUUAGUUGUUCUGACGACAGGCGUGCACCACCACUCCUGACUUCCUGCCCAAACCUCAUAUCCUACUUGUUAAUAGCUGUCUUCUCCCUCUGCCAUCUAUCCAGCGCUAAGUAUUCCAGAGCGCUCAGCUUGGGACUGUCGCCCAUGGCAGGGCCCAGGUGAGAGGACUGGCAGCGAGUCCCCAGAUCUUGUAGCCAUGAUACCAAACAGUCAUUUCCCGAUCAGUGCCUCACACAUCUAUCCAAUGGUGCAGUUUUGGGGUCCUCCCCCGCCCCCUCAGUCCCCACCCCUGAUCCCCUCAGAUGUGGGACAGGAAACAGCAGGUGCACUGGGCGGGAGGAAGGCAUGCACCCCCAAGCCACCACCCCUCCCCCAGCACCCAGCCUCACUACCCCAACUUGGGGUACCCAGCUGGAUACUCCCAAAAUGUCACACCCCAUCCAACCUCAGAUCUUAUGCAGUCAUCUUUCCCCCUCUCCCCCCGCCCCCCGCAACCAAAGCCCACUCGGGUCUGAGGGUCCCAGCAUAGACCCUGAGUGCCCUGCAGUGCCUGACAAGCAUGGGUUUGAGGGACUAGACAGGGCGCAGUGCAGGUGCUCAUGGGUUUCAGGGAGUGGAAGGGGAUCUUUUUUUCUCCGUUGCUCUUCUCCCUAGGUGUUCCUUGUUUUCUGGGUGUUUUCCUGCAGAGAUCUUUUGGGUUUAUUUUGAGAUUUUUUUUCCUCCCAUUCAGCCACUUUGUAUUUUACUCCUGGGUCCAUGCACCUCUGGUCUUCAGCUUUUCCUAACUGCGCUUGCGUGGUCUGCGGCAACCUCUGCCCCCUGCUCCCAGAGCGAAUGGGGUCUGCAUGGGGAGCAGAGGCACCCCAGGCCCUUCCUGCUCCACAGCCCCCACCCACAGCAUACUCCACUCAUAACCAUAUAUUACAAACUCAUUUUGGUUUCUGGCUUUUUGUUUUGUUUUGUGGACCCGCCUGAGCACCGUUGACUGCCUGCUGUUCUGUUUCUCCCUAUGCAAACAAACGAAAACAAACAGUGAGGGGGUCCAUAAAAGAUUCAAUAAAAGGCAAAAAAAAUAAAUAAAUAAAUGAAAGAAAAAUGUAUAAAAAUUAAAUACGCCUAAUCUUG